CUUUUAUCAAAGAUGGUGUAGUUAGAAUGUUUGUUGGCACUCUGGAUCAAGAACAAUGGAAAAUAAGAAUUUUUUAAGAAACAAUAUGAAGUUGAUGUGAGAGUUGACGGGAAACCAACGAGCGUUUCACAAGAUGGCUAAUUAUAGGAUGACGGUGCCAAUACAUAUAUACAAGAUGCACGUUACAUCCGUGCCGAACAAGUGAUUGAAUGAAGCUACUUCUUGCCGGUUUUUGGAGAGGGAAGUGAUCACUCUGUUGGAUUUUGGGUUUGUACCGGUUAGGGUCGUUUAUUGUCUGUUUGGGACCUGUUUCAACCCUUAGACGUGAAGCCUAAGUUUGGAAAGGCCUAGAACAAAAGUGAUGAUCUACAUGGACUUCCUUCUCUUGACCUUUAUAUGACUAUCUCAAUGAUGAAGAUUGUGGGUCAAAAACAACCACCUUCUUGCUUAACGAUGUAGCCGUCUUCGCCAUGACGUCGAUUUUAACCAAUACAGAUUAUACAAGAAUCACAAAGUAUUCAAGAGCCACAGACAUGGGAAAUUAGUUGUGGAAGAUGUUCUCUUGCCAGCAGCUCCAUUCAGACUUGACCAUGGUUCCCCCUCUGUCCAGGCCACUCAUAAAAAAUGGGUGCAUCAUGUGUUGCUGGCACGAACCCGGACUGUUUAGAGUUUUUUAAUGAAUUGCGGUCGUUGCAUAUUCACGUAUUUCAAUUUGUUGUCGUAAUCUAAUCUAUCCGGUUGUCUUUUACUGUGUAUAAAAUCAUAAUAUUCAACCCCGAAAUUCGUGGGUUCUUAGACUAUUUUAUAUCUAUAGUACGUUAGUUCGUUGUAUUUUCAUCGUGAACUUCAGAUUUCCAUAAUAAUUCCGUGUCAGAACAAAUCUUAACAAAUAUGG
rnacentral:lncRNA from 1 species